rnacentral:lncRNA from 1 species
AUGUGUUUUCAAGGCGUUACCUGGAAUCCCCUGAAUUGCGCUCUGAACGUCGGUUCCAAGCCGAGAGACGUUGAUGCAGAACACCAUGAUGACGUCGCAUUCAUCCGCGGACUUUGCGUCCAUCAGCUGGACCUUUCUCCCCAGCAUGCCCUUGAUCUUCUCAACGUAACCGUGGGCGUGUUCACAUAUAAUGAACAACACCUGCAGUGCCGUCACCUGAGGAUGCUGCCAGAAGUGCAUACGAAAAAUCUGGAACUGAUUUCAUCUGCAGAAGCUGUGCCUGAAUACGCCGGUAAUGCACAGUGGACAUUAGAAUUAAAUUCCGUGCAUGAUUCGGUGCCACAGAGAGCCUUCACACAGGAAAUAUUCUCCAGAUUCUGUUAUGGUGUUUCUAAAUGGAUUCAUUUCUUUUUCUACCUCCAGCUAACACUGAUGCUGCUUAUGACUGCUGAUGAUGACCAAUCAGAAAAUCACGGAUACCUCACAGCAGUCUUCCCACGGAGCUCCUCUUCUUAUUAUUAUUCUUCUGCCACCUCGUCCGCCCGUGGGACCUUCUGCCUACCACCUGCGAUGCAUUUGCAGGCGACGCCUAGUUUCUGGAUAACUGAAAGCGAAAAUCGACUUCCGCGUUCGUUAUCUUUACUUUAUUUUGCAGAAGCUUUUAUCCAAAGCGACUUACAGGAGGUUAUCUGUCAUCUGAUCAGGUCUGGGCUGCUAAAAGGAAUGUCAUUGUCGCGGCGUGUCAACGACACCAAAUCCACGCAUUAGGCAGGCGAGGGAAACAGAUGGACCGAUCCAGAACUGUGUUCAGAUCUUGGCCGGUAGGCCCAGUUUUUCCAGUUUCCUUUCAAAAGAAGUUACAGGACACCAUUCCCAUGAACAGGUUGGUGAGGAACAAACCAACACUAAACAGUCGUGUUGGACAGCUGAAGGUCAUGCGGCAUGUGGUGUCAUCUUCAAAUUAGGACAUGUUUUAGUAUAGCAUAGGUGAUGCAAAGUUCUUAAGAAAUGACAUGGCCUAACAACAUUGUAGUAGCCUUUUACUUCAUUAGUUACUGGUUGUGAUUGUGUGAUUUUCCAAAAUGCUGCAGAAGCAAAUGGUUAGUGAGUAAUAACCACUUUAAAUUCAUGUUUGGGCUACAAAAAAUUACUGAAAAUGAUAAAAUUCCCCAAAAUGCAGACUUGCGUUCCUCAGCC